rnacentral:rRNA from 1 species
UACGUAGGGUGCAAGCGUUGUCCGGAAUUAUUGGGCGUAAAGAGCUUGUAGGCGGUUUGUCGCGUCUGCUGUGAAAUUUCGGGGCUCAACCCCGAACUUGCAGUGGGUACGGGCAGACUAGAGUGUGGUAGGGGAGACUGGAAUUCCUGGUGUAGCGGUGAAAUGCGCAGAUAUCAGGAGGAACACCAGUGGCGAAAGCGGGUUACUGGGUCAUUACUGACGCUGAAGAACGAAAGCCAGGGUAGCAAAAGGG